AGCACAAGCCUCAACCAGAAUGAUGGUCACGAUGGAGAAUAUAGACAAUAUCAUUUCUUUGAUUUCCAGGUUUGAGAGCAUUGAGUGACAUCAUCAAAUCCAAACGAGAACUCUCCCAGUGAGCAUAGACAGGACUUUGAGACAGUCUCUCAGAAAAAGAUAACUUUGUGGAGGUUUUCUUGAAGAAGAAUAAGAUAUAUUGCAAAAGUGGUAACAAUAAAAUAGAGCAGAUGGUAGAGAAUAGACUUGUUUAGAGAAGAAAACUGAAGAUUAUAUAGUAGUGAAGGAAUGGAGGAUGCAGCUUUCAAGUACCAAUGAGGACAUAUACUACACUGACUGACAUCUCUUCAAGACAUAGGAAAAUGGGGUUGAUUAUUUCUCACAUGUUGGUCAAGGUCACUGAGGAAAACAUAGUAUAAAAAGUUAAUAUUGUAGGAAAGACUUGACAUCAAAAAUGAAAUAAUGUUUGAUAUUGAAAAAGAUAUAUUAUCCCUAUAGCUCUGCCAAACUUAGUAUCUACACAAAUUAUUAUCUCUCUUUUAAGUGUCAGUAAGUUAUAGUUAUGUAAGUUACAGUUCUCUAAGGGCAGCUUUAACUGCUUUCUCUUACUUAGAAAUUUCCUGUUUUACUUCUCUCAGUCAAAAUGACUUCAAUUUUUA